ACGCUCACGGCUUGCGGAAGACCCAUGACUGGAUGAGGCAAAGCACGUCGCCCGGCCACAUUUAGGCUAUUCACAGCUUCGCGAUUGCCGGCAUGCCAGCUGGAAUUAAAUCAGCUGUGUGAUCAGCUCAUCUAUCGGCUGGGAAGGACGUAGGCUAUCUGUGGUUCCCCAAAAGUCCAAGGAACGUUAGCCUAUUUGAUUGGUUUGUAGCCUAGGCUACUAUAACCAAAGGGAACGUUGUUAAGUGAUAGAUUUUGGUUUGCUUAACUAAACCUUUAGAAACCCAAAGUCAAGCGUGUUCCGUUUCAUUAUGCUAGGGCGCACCAGAGAGUGACGUGCAGACAGGAGGCGGCUACUGAGCGCGCUGGACGGCUCCAAAGAGAAAUGCGUUAGUGUCAUUCUAGUGUUUGGAGAGAACGUUCACAAAUGUUUACAAUCCGCUUUUAUCUUAACACUUUUAAUUCAAAUGCCAAUAUGGGGAACCUGGUUAUUGUCUCUAUCGCAAUUUGUAGGUUUGACGACAAGCCCUUGUCAUGUGAUGUCGGGGAAAAUGGCUUGUCCGUCUCAAAACGUCUAUAUCGUUCUUCAUCAGAACCCUUUCUGAAGCCUAAGCUAUCACUGAGUAAAGUCGUUCAAGAGACUAUAUUGAAAUGGAAAAGAUUUUUGAUAUUCAAAAGACCAUGGAGAGAAUCAACCUGCUAUGAAUACAAUGU